rnacentral:rRNA from 1 species
GUGGGGAAUUUUGGACAAUGGGCGCAAGCCUGAUCCAGCAAUGCCGCGUGUGUGAAGAAGGCCUUCGGGUUGUAAAGCACUUUUGGCAGGAAAGAAAUAGUGCGUGCUAAUACCAUGCGCGAAUGACGGUACCUGCAGAAUAAGCACCGGCUAACUACGUGCCAGCAGCCGCGGUAAGACGUAGGGUGCAAGCGUUAAUCGGAAUUACUGGGCGUAAAGCGUGCGCAGGCGGUUUUGUAAGACAGGUGUGAAAUCCCCGGGCUCAACCUGGGAACUGCACUUGUGACUGCAAGGCUAGAGUGUGUCAGAGGGAGGUGGAAUUCCGCGUGUAGCAGUGAAAUGCGUAGAGAUGCGGAGGAACACCGAUGGCGAAGGCAGCCUCCUGGGAUAACACUGACGCUCAUGCACGAAAGCGUGGGGAGCAAACAGGAUUAGAAACCCUUGUAGUCC